CCCUGAAGCGGGGGACGAACAGCUUGAAAGAGCUGCUAAUACCGCAUGUGGAUCGCCCUGGCAUCAGGGAUUAUCCAAAGGCUGCUAGUAAUAGUGGUCACUUCAGGAUGGGCCCGCGGCCUAUCAGCUAGUUGGAGGGGUAACGGCCCACCAAGGCUUCGACGGGUAGCUGGUCUGAGAGGACGAUCAGCCGGAUUGGGACUGAGAUACGGCCCAG
rnacentral:rRNA from 1 species